GGGGUUGUGGCUCAGUGGUAGAGCACUCACUUAGACUGUGUGAGGCACUGGGUUCAAUCCUCAGCACCACA
rnacentral:tRNA from 1 species